rnacentral:misc_RNA from 1 species
UCACCCUCAAGAACUGAAAGAUCAAAGAGCUCAGGUGCAUUCCAUGGAGACUUUGCGGUUGCAGCUCCCUCACAUUCUGGAAUACCAACAUCUUUUCCUUGUGCCUUUGCACUUAGAGCAGCAAAGAGCAGACCAUCCUUUAGGCCAAUGCCCCCAGGUCGAAGAACAGGACCCAUUCCAGGUGGACCUUCAUUUAAUGCCAAAGCAUGGUGAAAGCUACUGCAAUAGUCCUGACACCAGUCCAACCCUCCUUGAGCAGGUCUUGGACAAUCCCAAAGUGCACAUUUUGGGCCCAGGAAAGCAGAAGGUGGAGGAAAUAUACUUGGCAGAUAGCCAGAAACAUGAGGCACACCAUCCUCAACACACAAAUCUGUGCUAUUAGAACCAGUAUAGAAGUUUGACUCAAAAUUUUGAGAUAAAUCAUACUGAUUAUAGUCCAAGUGACCAGCUCCUUCUAAGUCGUUAGCCACCAUGCUGGGAACUCCUGUAGGAGAGUCUUUUUUACAUUGAUCAACAAAUGGGAAACUGUGAUCCUGUUGCCCCUGAUUAACACCAUAUCCCUAACACAUAUUAAGGCCGGAAUCACCAUUGUUUCAGUUCUUAUGACAUGCCAACGCGAAUCAAAUCAUAAAACAUGACCAAGUUAAGCACACAAAUUAUUUUCAGUCCCCUAAAAUAAAUAAACUGAUAGAUAAAAGAAAUGAAUACAGAAAAACUAACACCAACAAAACAGAUGUAGAACGUUUCUUAGUUCUUACAAUUUAGACCUAGCAAUCACUAGGAAAGCAAGUCAUGUCAACCAAACAGCAGGUGUACAACUCUGCACCACUAUCUUCGAAUGAUAGCUCACACAUAUUAUGGUUAAUUAACAAUCUAAGAUGGUGACUGAAGCAAAUUUACAGCAACUACAGAAAUUUAGGAUCUGAAUAGGCCAAAAGAAUAUCAACUUUAUGCAGAGUAUAAUAAAAAUCUUCAGAACAAUUUACUUAGAUGCCAAUUUAUUUCAAGCUACAAUACCAAAGCUCUAUCACUAGAUGGAACAAGACAUGAAGAACAAGAUUUUAGCUAUUCCGGAUCGUUUAAGGAUAUCAACUAGUUCAAUCAUUAACCCAUCAUAUCCCUAGUUGAGCAGGGAAAUUACUACAGUUGCAUUAUAUAAUUCUACCGUGAAGCAAUAUUGAAUCUCUAACCCAGUUAUUCACCUACAAAUUUCUUCCAAAAACAUUAAUUUUUUUUACUGGGACUAUGAUUAUGAAUAGGUUCAAACCAACCAAGCAUUCCUCAUUUGGGCAAUGAGACUCGACCAUCACACAAGCAUUGCAUCCAGACUGUAGCAAUUAUUCUCUCCCACUGUACACUUCUGGCCAUAACCAAGCAACAAUUGCAGUUUCUCAGAUUUCUACAUCCAAUAUAAAGAUUUUACACCCAGGUCAAGGUCAAGCUCAGGAUGUUUCAUAGUCUUGACUUAUUUAACAGUAUUCCUCUUUCUGCAGCCUUUUCUUGACUUAAACUAUUCACAUGCUCAACACCAGAUGGACAUCCUCCAAUGAUUUUCUCUACAAUCAUGAAGGAAGCAAGAAAUACAUACCAACACAAUCAGCACAAAGAAGUAAAUAAAGUAUAGCAUGUAACCAGGUCUUGUCAUCUAAAAGAGUAACAAAGUGCAGCCCUACAUGAUCCAGCUCAUCACAACCAAAAACAAUGUAAGAACUCCAAACUAAACUUAAUCAUUAAAACAUAAAAAACAUAAGUGAAUACUACACAAAACAAGAAAUGAGGGUGGAAGACCAA